GGAAACCGCCCCGAGGGCGCCGCCACGGCCAAUGGGCGUGGCGAGGGGCGUGCCCGCGGGCCGUCCCGAAGGUGGGCCGGCCGGCGCGUGGAGGCGAGCGGCCGCGGGGCAGGACGUGGAGCUACAUAUUCAGGAUAACACUCAAAAGGAUCAGUUUUUUUGCGGAGCAAUGGAAAUGACAAGACAGAGGCAUUCUCUCUUUGACAUUAUGUUGGACAUCCUGGAAUGCUUUCUUAUGCAGGCUCAGCUCUUGCCACUAUACGUACAACCUACAUGUCUUCUUCAGCCCCAGCCUGGGCAUAGCGAUGGGUCAUUGCGGGCAGAAAGAGAACAUUGCAGCUGAUAGCUCUGCUGGUUGGCUUUGGACGUGAUACGGCACAACUGCUCCACAGCUGCAGAGGAGAAUGAUUGGAGCCUGGUUUAGGUAAUGUCUGGUGUGAACAGGGGAAUAAGAUCUGUGAUACAGAGAUUCUUUAAACAAAUUUUUCAGAGGCAUAGCAGGUAGCAACAUUUGAACUAUUUUUUGUACUGACAGGAAAGAGGACAUCCCUGCUUCGUCUACCAAAUCUGACUUCAGCGAUGUUUGAACUCUUCAAAGGUAGGAUGGAAAAACAUCAUAUGUUGGUUUGUUUUUGUAAAUAAUUUAUGAACAUUUUUUCCUAUUCCGAUUUUCAAGGAUAGAUGUUUCACAAGAAUUCCUUUCCCUUUACGUAAACGAAAAAUCACAACAUGAGGCAUGCACCCAUCUUCAAAUUUUGUCUGAAGUGAUUGAAGCUCAGGUAGUUAACGAGUAAUUGACAUCAAGGUCUUCAAAUGGACAACAUCAGAUAAUCCCAGAAGCAGUGCUACAACUUUGGCAAAACCUUUCUAUAUGCAUUGAUAGACUUUAUUCUUUGAUGUAACUUGUGAAGCUUUGUCAAUUUCCCUAUGUUUAGUUGCUAGUUGGUUAAGUUUGUGCAAGGAAAGAAAAGGCAGGUUGUAUACGUUAUAACAGAAAUUGUCUGAAGGAUUUGGAGGAGUUGUAAACAUCAAUUCAUUUUCAAGUCUAAUGAUACUUAAUAGUAAUGGCUCUUCUUUAAAAUAGGUGGUAAUUCCAUUUAAUGAGAACGGUUACCAGUGACUGUCUUUUUCACUGAACUCUUUUUAACUCCUGAGAUCAGUGCUUGUAUUAUGUCUUUGGCUGUGUCACAUGCAUAGAAACCUAACUGUAGUUGUUGCGACCUUUCAGGCUAUGU
rnacentral:lncRNA from 1 species